rnacentral:rRNA from 1 species
AACGUAGGAGACAAACGUUAUCCGGAGUUACUGGGCGUAAAGGGCGUGUAGGUGGUAGAGUAAGUCUGGCGUGAAAUUUUUCGGCUUAACCGGGAAAGGUCGUCGGAUACUGCUUAACUAGAGGACGGUAGAGGCGUGUGGAAUUCCGGGUGUAGUGGUGAAAUGCGUAGAGAUCCGGAGGAACACCAGUGGCGAAGGCGGCUCACUGGCCCGGUACUGACGCUGAGGUGCGAAAGCGUGGGGAGCGAACAGG